rnacentral:rRNA from 1 species
UACGUAGGGGGCGAGCGUUGUCCGAAGUUACUGGGCGUAAAGAGCGCGUAGGCGGGUCUUUAAGUGAGAGGUGAAAGGUUUGGGCUUAACCCAGACACUGCCUUUCAUACUGGGGACCUUGAGUAUGGGAGAGGCGAGUGGAAUGGUCGGUGUAGCGGUGAAAUGCGUAGAUAUCGAUCGGAACACCCAUGGCGAAGGCAGCUCGCUGGCCUAUAACUGACGCUGAGGCGCGAAAGCGUGGGGAGCAAACAGG